UCACUUACCUGGAUGGGGUCAAUGGGUGAUCAAGAAGGCCCAUGGCCUAGGCAAGUGACCUCCAUUGCACUUUGGAGGGGUGCUAGCCUAAGGUCUACCCCAAGUGGUGGAGCCUACAUCAUAAUUUGUUGCCGUGGGGGUUUGCGUUCGCGCAGCCCCUUC
rfam:Medicago truncatula strain A17 chromosome 5, whole genome shotgun sequence.